rnacentral:rRNA from 1 species
UACGUAGGUGGCAAGCGUUGUCCGGAUUUAUUGGGCGUAAAGCGCGCGCAGGCGGUGAGGUAAGUCCGUCGUGAAAUCUCCCGGCUCAACUGGGAGGGUGCGGGGGAGACUGCCUGACUGGAGGCACUCAGAGGCCGGUGGAAUUCCCGGUGGAGUGGUGAAAUGCGUAGAGAUCUGGAAGAACACCAAAGGCGAAGGCAGCAUCCUGGGAAGUUCCUGACGCUCGGGUGCGAAAGCCAGGGGAGCGAACGGG